rnacentral:rRNA from 1 species
AUUGAACGCUGGCGGCAGGCCUAACACAUGCAAGUCGAACGAGUGGCGGACGGGUGAGACAUGUCUGGGAAACUGCCCGAUGGAGGGGGAUAACUACUGGAAACGGUAGCUAAUACCGCAUACCAUCGGAUGUGCCCAGACGGGAUUAGCUAGUAGGUGGGGUAACGGCUCACCUAGGAGACGAGCCCUAGCUGGUCUGAGAGGAUGACCAGCCACACUGGAACUGAGACACGGUCCAGACUCCUACGGGAGGCAGCAGUGGGGAAUAUUGCACAAUGGGCGCAAGCCUGAUGCAGCCAUGCCGCGUGUAUGAUGAAGGCCUUCGGGUUGUAAAGCACUGUCAGCGGGGAGGCGUUACCCGCAGAAGAAGCCCCGGCUAACUUCGUGCCAGCAGCCGCGGUAAUUC